GAGAACAGCUCCUAAGAUCCAGGCCGGAAUGACAGGGACUUCCACCAAUCAACUUUCUACCUUUCGGUUUCUGCGUCCUAGCUGUUUCUGGACCCGGAAAAGUCUCCUCAGAAGCAUUUCCGUGGCAGAGGGCCUGGGAGAGGCGGCAGUCGGCAGCGCAACUGUCGGCACAGCAGCCCGGCGGCCCCGAAAGGUCCCAGGUAUCACACUCAUCAGGUAGUUCAGCUCACCUGUGAAACUGAGAACCCUGGAUGGUGAAGAGAGGAAACUAGCAAAGGAUCCAGGUCUCUAACUGCUCAGUCAGAUCUGCUCACCUGUUAAUCAGAACUAAGAGCCCUGGAUGGUGAACACAGAGGAAACUAUAGCCAAGGAACCAGUUUUGAAGCUCUGAAAUGACUGUUGCCCAUUAAAUAAAGUGUCUUUGACCCAGACUGGAAGCAGCACCAGGCUAUGGUGGUGAACUGAAACAUUUGAACAUGUUCCAAAGGUAAGAGUAACUAGAAGAAUGAACGCCUCUCUCCUAAAUGCUCCUC
rnacentral:lncRNA from 1 species